rnacentral:lncRNA from 1 species
CUAAUAUUCGAAUUUCGGGCUGUACACUGCUAUUCCGAAACUUCGAAAAAUCAUAACUUCUUCAUACGAAGUCAGAUUUGGGCGUUCUUUUUAUCGAUGUUCUUAGUUUAACAUAUUCUACGACUUUCAUUUAGAUUGCUAAGGCUAAAUCUCUCUCUAUCGUAAAUUCACUAUUUACGCUUUCCGGUAUCGUGCCGGUUCUGUCGCGAAACUUCGACGGGUCAUAAUUUCUUCGUUAUAACUCGGAUUUCAGCGUUCUUUAUAUGUACGGAAACCUUGAGACAUAUUCUACAACUUUAUGUAGAGAUAUCGGGAUUAUCUCACACUUUAAUUUUGACGCUCAUUUUUAUUAUUUAUUAAUUAUACAUUUAUAAUUAAAUUAUAAGCACAUAAAUACACAUAAUUCACAUAAUACUCAAAUAUUUCAUCUUUAUUACUUCAAAAAGAGUUACAAGAGUUGACCUAGACUAUUACAUUGACAAAAAUGCUUAGCCCUGAAACCCGGGCGUUACAAUUCUCUCCCCCUUAGGAUGAUUCCGUCCCGGAAUCAUGCAUCAGCAAACAGAUGUGGAUAGCGACUCAUCAUGUCAUCCUCUGUUUCCCAAGUGAGAUUCGGCCCAUUCGAAUGUUUCCAUCGGACUAGCACUAAGUCGACCAUCUUGCGUCGUAACUUCUUAGUCUUACGGUCAACAAUUGCCUCGGGCUCUUCGAUCAGCCUCUUAUUCUCAUCCAUCCGAACUCUGAGAUUGGAAUUAUGUCAGGAACAUCUCCCGUGAAUUUCCUCAAAUAACACACAUGGAAGGUGUUAUGAAUACCAUCGAGUUCUUCGGGUAAUUCCAGCUUGUAAGCUUGGUUCCCAGUCUUCUGAAGAACUUUGAACGGUCCAAUAAACCUUGGACUCAACUUUCCUCGUUUCCCAAAUCGUAUAAGUCCCUUCCACGGCGAGACUUUAAGCAAAACGGAAUCCCCAACUUCGAAGGUUAUUGGUCAUCUUUUCUUGUCAGCAUAGCUCUUCUAACGAUCCUAGGCUGCUAACAUUCUAACCCUAAUCACCUUCAACUUCUCAGCAGUCUCAUGGACUAUCUCGGGUCCCAUAAACUGCUUCUCUCCAGCUUCAAGCCAACAAGACGGCGUACGAAACUUUUGUCCAUACAAGGCUUGAUAAGGUGCCAUCUUGAUGCUCGAGUGGAAACUGUUGUUGUAUGAGAAUUCUACCAGAGGUAAGUGCUAGUCCUAAUUNUUUCCUCGUUUCCCAAAUCGUAUAAGUCCCUUCCACGGCGAGACUUUAAGCAAAACGGAAUCCCCAACUUCGAAGGUUAUUGGUCA